GGCUGUGAGAGGCAGUUGGUUAUGACAUCUGUCACUCUACUGAUGUCCACAUUGAAUGCAGCAGAGUGGCUGAGUGGCUGUCCGUUUCCUCCCCCAAUGCUCCACAUGUGUCCCUCUUGAAGCCUCAUGCUCAACUGAAGAGGACAACCACCCCUAGAGAAGAGGACCAUUACCUCCUCAAGGGUAUACAAGUAACUUCACUCCACUGAUAGAACUUUCAAACAAGUUCUCAAGGUCCAUUUAUAGGGAAAUAGAAAAGAUGGACUGAAGGCUCACAAGAAGCACGAGGAUUC
ensembl:misc_RNA 7SK 7SK RNA